UGAACACCCUAUGUGCGGAAGGGAUAAGUGCUGAAAGCAUCUAAGCAUGAAGCCCCCCUCAAGAUGAGAUUUCUCUUUCUUUGAAGUAAGACCCCUGAAAGAUGAUCAGGUUGAUAGGUUCGAGGUGGAAGUAUGGUGACAUAUGGAGCUGACGAAUACUAAUCGGUCGAGGACUUAACCAA
rnacentral:ncRNA from 1 species